rnacentral:lncRNA from 1 species
UUUACCGAGUCCCUGGAGUUGAGCUCCUUCGCAGACCCAGGGCAGCGCGUGGAAGGAAGUGCUUCCACGAGCUUCCAAGUGUGUACCGCUUCGCAUUUUCCAACCUGCAGGUACCUGACAGAGGAAGACAGAUGCAGGUAGAAGCUGGAUGUCGGGAGACACAUGUAAUCCCACCUGGAAAGGUUCUGGUUGAGGAGCCAGAGCUGAGGAGGGGAUGACAGCAUUUGUCAACCUGGCUCGAUCCCAGCCCCGCCCCCGAAAGGAGGUUUAAGAAACACUAGCAGUCAAGCCAUUAUCAAAGAGGCUCAGAAAAGUACAUCGCUCUCAUUUCUUGGUAGCUGAUUUAAUUUUAAUUUACCUAAAUAAAGGGCAAAAUGGG